UGGGGAAUAUUGCACAAUGGGGGAAACCCUGAUGCAGCGACGCCGCGUGAGCGAAGAAGGCCUUCGGGUCGUAAAGCUCUUUUAUAUGGGAAGAUAAUGACGGUACCAUAAGAAAAAGCCCCGGCUAACUACGUGCCAGCAGCCGCGGUAAUACGUAGGGGGCUAGCGUUGUCCGGAAUCACUGGGCGUAAAGGGUUCGCAGGCGGCAAUGCAAGUCAGAUGUAAAAGGCAAAGGCUCAACCUUUGUAAGCAUCUGAAACUGUAUAGCUUGAGAAGUGUAGAGGCAAGUGGAAUUUUUAGUGUAGCGAUGAAAUGCGUAGAUAUUAAAAAGAAUACCGGUGGCGAAGGCGACUUGCUGGGCACAAUCUGACGCUGAGGAACGAAAGCGUGGGGAGCAAACAGG
rnacentral:rRNA from 1 species